AGACAGGUAACCCUCAACAGUAAGACUGGUAACCCUCAACAGUAAGACUGGUAACCCUCAACAGUAAGACUGGUAACCCUCAACAGUAAGACUGGUAACCCCCAACAGUAAGACAGGUAACCCUCAAUAGUAAGACUGGUAACCCUCAACAGUAAGACAGGUAACCCUCAACAGUAAGACUGGUAACCCUCAACAGUAAGACAGGUAACCCCGCCCCUCAAAAGUAAGACAGGUAACCCUCAACAGUAAGACUGGUAACCCUCAACAGUAAGACUGGUAACCCUCAACAGUAAGACUGGUAACCCUCAACAGUAAGACUGGUAACCCUCAACAGUAAGACUGGUAACCCCCAACAGUAAGACAGGUAACCCUCAAUAGUAAGACUGGUAACCCUCAACAGUAAGACAGGUAACCCUCAACAGUAAGACUGGUAACCCUCAACAGUAAGACAGGUAACCCCGCCCCUCAAAAGUAAGACAGGUAACCCUCAACAGUAAGACUGGUAACCCUCAACAGUAAGACUGGUAACCCUCAACAGUAAGACUGGUA